CGAUUCUAUUUUUUAUCCUUUUACAAGUUGACGAGUCCAACUCCAACGCCACCUCGUCUAUUCCCAUUGCUUUCCAGCUUCCCCUCUCUAUAUCUAUCUGCUUCUUCUCUAUUAGGGUUUGCGCUCACCCAAAAACCAGAUUGUCUCCUCCUCCUCCUCGACAGUUGGGAUAAAGAGAGAUCAUGUCAGAAGAGUUAGAGUACCGCUGUUUUAUUGGCGGCCUUUCAUGGUCUACUUCUGAUAGAGGUUUAAAGGAGACUUUUGAAAAGUUUGGCCAUCUUCUUGAAGCUAAGGUAGUGGUUGAUAAGUUCAGUGGACGCUCUCGUGGAUUUGGGUUUGUCACUUUUGAUGAGAAGAAAGCAAUGGAAGAUGCUAUUGAAGGGAUGAAUGGAAUGGAUUUAGAUGGCCGAACCAUCACUGUUGAUAAAGCCCAGCCUCAGCAAGGUUCAAGCAGGGAUCUUGAUGGUGAUCGCAGCCGUGAUAGGGACCGGGACCGUGACCGUGGGCAUGAUCGUGAUAGGAAUCGUGACUAUGGAGGUGGGCGUGGAUCUAACAGUGGAGAGUGCUUUAAGUGUGGCAAGCCUGGGCAUUUUGCUAGGGAGUGUCCAAGUGAAGGGGCAAGAGGUGGCAGGUAUGGUGGCAGAGAUGAGAGGUAUUCUGGCGGCGGCGGCAGUAGUGGUGGUAGUCGCUAUGGCCCUGAUCGGAAUGGAGAUCGAUCUGGUGGGCGUAAUAGGGAUGGUGGUAGUCGUGGAGGUCCUGGAGGUGAUCGAUAUAAUCGUGACCGUUCAGGACCCUAUGAGCGUCGUACUUCAGGGUUUCGUUCAGGAUAGAAUGACUUCAUACUUAGGUGAUGAGCUGGUGGUGUUGCUGUUACUGCCUGCAAAACGUUUAAGUUAAUUAUCAAAGAUGUGCUGUCUCUGUCAUUGUCUCGCUGGAUAAAUCUAGUAGAUCAGUUUUAUCAGGCGUGGAUGUUCGACUGUUUUUGUGUUCCUAAAAUGCUGACUUCUGUCUCUUGGUUUAAUGGACCUUAUGCUUGCUUGUCAUGCACAUUUUAGAAAUUACAAGUACUGAAGAUAGUUUCAUGUCAAAUUAGCAUUUGGAGAGUACUGAUGAUGUGGGUUCUACUAUUGGGGUCUGCUUCUUGUCACUUCGGGAUUAGUUGCUGUUUUAAAUGGAAAUGACUGUUUUGGUUACCCUGUUUUCAUAUCUUAUUAUACAAGAGAGAGGGAUACAUGGCUAUUUAUGGUUCUUUGGGAUACAUGAUUGGGUGUCUUUGUUGCUAACUGGACAGAAUUUUUUAACUUUAUGUUAGAGUCUCUUUUGGGCUGCGGCAAGUGAUCUAGAGUUUAACUAGUUUUCAUGUUCUGCAUGGCAUAUUGGUCCAAGGGUUCGAUUCUCCAUACACGUGUGGCAUUUUGUUUGGAAGCUCUUGAUCAAUUGAAACAGCUGUCCAGUAUUUUUGUUAACUUCCUAUAUCUCAUAUUGUUCUUCGAUGGAGGGUUCUUAUUCUCACAUUGUUUCUGCACCUGCUUGCAAUGUCUUGGUUUUCUUUGCUGGAAUCCAGAAAGUUGGCAAAUAUCUUUCAGGUCAGGUUGGGGUUCCUGAAUUCUUUUUCUUUGCUUUGAGGGUGGGAGCAUCAUCAGGUUCUCUAAAGGAGAAUGCUUCCUGUUUCCCUUUUCCUUUGUGAAACAGUCAGGAAAAUUAUUUUCUGGGUUUGUUCUUUGUAUAUUCUGAAGGUGAUUAAUCAACCUUCUGUUCUUAAAGCAAUUUGACCUGAUGUUAGAACCUAA